rnacentral:rRNA from 1 species
UAAUACGUAGGGGGCAAGCGUUGUCCGGAUUUAUUGGGCGUAAAGAGCGUGUAGGCGGCUUCACAAGUCCGCUGUGAAAACUCGAGGCUCAACCUCGAGCUGUCGGUGGAAACUGUGUGGCUAGAGUCCGGAAGAGGAGAGUGGAAUUCCCGGUGUAGCGGUGAAAUGCGCAGAUAUCGGGAAGAACACCCGUGGCGAAGGCGGCUCUCUGGGACGGUACUGACGCUGAGACGCGAAAGCGUGGGGAGCGAACAGGAUUAGAUACCCUGGUAGUCCACGCCGUAAACGAUGGGUGCUAGGUGUGGGGGGUGUCGACUCCCCCCGUGCCGAAGCUAACGCAUUAAGCACCCCGCCUGGGGAGUACGGCCGCAAGGCUA